rnacentral:rRNA from 1 species
GGUUAAGCGACUAAGCGUACACGGUGGAUGCCCUGGCAGUCAGAGGCGAUGAAGGGCGUGCUAAUCUGCGAUAAGCGCCGGUAAGGUGAUAUGAACCGUUAUAACCGGCGAUACCCGAAUGGGGAAACCCAGUGUGACUCGUCACACUAUCAUUAACUGAAUCCAUAGGUUAAUGAGGCGAACCGGGGGAACUGAAACAUCUAAGUACCCCGAGGAAAAGAAAUCAACCGAGAUUCCCCCAGUAGCGGCGAGCGAACGGGGAGGAGCCCAGAGCCUGAAUCAGCAUGUGUGUUAGUGGAAGCGUCUGGAAAGGCGCGCGAUACAGGGUGACAGCCCCGUACACAAAAGCGCAUGUGCUGUGAGCUCGAUGAGUAGGGCGGGACACGUGGUAUCCUGUCUGAAUAUGGGGGGACCAUCCUCCAAGGCUAAAUACUCCUGACUGACCGAUAGUGAACCAGUACCGUGAGGGAAAGGCGAAAAGAACCCCGGCGAGGGGAGUGAAAAAGAACCUGAAACCGUGUACGUACAAGCAGUGGGAGCCCCACCACCAAAGCAUUCUCUGGUGUUGAAGGCCCUGCAAAGCAGCAUCGCGGUGGCGGAGCGUCGUUUGCGACGCCCAACACACAAAACAAGCGGUGAAUGCUUUGGGGUGGGGUGACUGCGUACCUUUUGUAUAAUGGGUCAGCGACUUAUAUUCUGUAGCAAGGUUAACCGAAUAGGGGAGCCGGAGGGAAACCGAGUCUUAAUUGGGCGUUAAGUUGCAGGGUAUAGACCCGAAACCCGGUGAUCUAGCCAUGGGCAGGUUGAAGGUUGGGUAACACUAACUGGAGGACCGAACCGACUAAUGUUGAAAAAUUAGCGGAUGACCUGUGGCUGGGGGUGAAAGGCCAAUCAAACCGGGAGAUAGCUGGUUCUCCCCGAAAGCUAUUUAGGUAGCGCCUCGUGAAUUCAUCUCCGGGGGUAGAGCACUGUUUCGGCUAGGGGGCCAUCCCGGCUUACCAACCCGAUGCAAACUGCGAAUACCGGAGAAUGUUAUCACGGGAGACAC